CCUACGGGGGGCUGCAGUGGGGAAUAUUGGACAAUGGGGGCAACCCUGAUCCAGCCAUGCCGCGUGUGUGAAGAAGGCCCUCGGGUUGUAAAGCACUUUCAGUGAGGAAGAACGCCUGGUGGUUAAUACCCAUCAGGAAAGACAUCACUCACAGAAGAAGCACCGGCUAACUCCGUGCCAGCAGCCGCGGUAAUACGGAGGGUGCGAGCGUUAAUCGGAAUUACUGGGCGUAAAGCGCGCGUAGGUGGCUUGAUAAGCCGGUUGUGAAAGCCCCGGGCUCAACCUGGGAACGGCAUCCGGAACUGUCAAGCUAGAGUGCAGGCGAGGAAGGUAGAAUUCCCGGUGUAGCGGUGAAAUGCGUAGAGAUCGGGAGGAAUACCAGUGGCGAAGGCGGCCUUCUGGACUGACACUGACACUGAGGUGCGAAAGCGUGGGUAGCAAACAGGAUUAGAUACCCGUGUAGUC
rnacentral:rRNA from 1 species